GAAAAGGAUUAAAUGUCUUUUACAAAAACGGAACGGAAUAGGGCCGGUGUGACGACGAUAACGUGUGAGGUAUCGGUGAGCAAGAUCUCGAGGCACUUUCUCCUAAGACUGCUCCACUCCAGGCGACGAGCCGCAACACCGGCCGCCGGUCUGCCUUCGACAGCGCCGAUCGCGACGUGCACAGGUCGCGCGACCUUGCAGGCCCGGGACCCGAACCUUCCGCCGUUCUACCCGGGCAGUGCCCAUCACGGCGGGCGGAAGCCGGCUGCACGACGCGGCGCACCCCGUCACCGGAACUGACCUCCGUUCUACCCCAGGUACCUUCGAUCGAGGCGGGCACCGCGACGCGGCGGGCCCGGUAGCGGAACCGGGCUACCCUUCCGCCCCAGCAACACCCGAGCGCCGAUCGAGGCGUGCGGAGGCCGCACGGGUCCCGACACCGACUGGCACCGGCCACCGCUCUACGGCGCCCUCCAGCGACCCAGUGUGAACUUCUUCCGCACUCGAGCUACGUUGAGUUGGACGUUUCCACUAACAUGUCAACUAACGAAGAUACAAACAUGAUCGAUUAAUCGAGAGAGAAUAGGUGGAUAUACGUGCAUGACUUUAACCUUCAUAUGGUCGAUAGGUCGAAGUAGAUAUGUAUAAGAGAUGAAAAGUUAGUGUGGUCACGUCCACUUUAGUAUUUAACCACUUUUGAGAAAAGUUUAAAUCACGGGUUCUGGUUGACCUUUCACCUUUUUAAUAGUCGCUGAUUAGUUAUAUAAAGAACUGCUAUCUUGUCAAUGUGUAGAUAUAGAUUUUCUUAACAUUCCACUUUAUAAUGUAGAGUUCCGCUUCAUAACGUAGACUUCCAUUAACAAACUCUAGUUAGAAGUCUUCGUUUCAAAUAUAUCUCGAUAAAUUUUCACAAAGAGAACACGUACUGAACUAACCGAUGGUGUCAGGACCAAAAUCACUUUGGACUUUUCGCGAAGUUCUAUGUUGUUUUCCAAAACGUUUUUUAGUGUAUGUUGUUUUCCAAAACGUUUUUUAGUGUGUCAUAAGUGUUCUCGUAAUCGUUAUAUAAAUAGAAAAAUAAACUAUGUAAUUAGAUUAUAAAUAGAAAAAUAAACUAUGUAAUUAGAGAUAGUAAUCUCAACCGUUUUCCUCUUAUACAGUUUGCUCUUUAACGUACGUCAUUUUAAAUUUUAUUUGAAUCCAACAUGAGACAAUCAUCACCUGAAACUAACAUCUAUUCUAGCUCGACUACAGAGUAAUGAUUUAGUUGAGUACUACGAUACAUAUUAUACGAAAUCGUUUUGACCAUAUUAUAGAGGGGAGAAAACCUAUUCGUCGUUUGUUUACGUCUACUAAGGCUCAAAGGUUCGUAUAAACAAAUAAAUCUAUCUUUGUUUCAUUACGUUAAGGCUUCCUAAUUAAACGUACACAAACUUGUGUUCUUUGUCCCAAUACCUUCUACUUCAUGCCCCUCGAUAAAGACUUCCUAAUUAAACGUACAGUAUCAACAAAUAAACACAAGUAGAAUAGACUCACAAUUAUUAGACAUAUAAGGUCCCCGUUGUUGGCUGGAUACACAACCUUAAAACGAUCAUCCGGAAACCGGGUUUUGGGUUGAUUUUUAGACUUUAAGAGAACCGGGUAAGUACGUGUGUACACUCACCUCACUCACUCCGAUUUCAAAUCAGGGUGGGACCUUCAACUCUCUCUCAACGUGGAGAAAUAUUCCACUCAAGAAGAUGGUGAAUAUACUCGUACUCUUCUCCUCUGGAUGUGCGCGCGAGGAGGAGGAGCGAGCGGAGCGGAGCAGGGCUGCGCGGCGCGGCGUCCAACGUCCUAACUCGGCUCGGCUCCUGUCUCGAUACGUGCAACAGAUAUAAAAACGACGUACCCUUUUAGUUACUCAGUAAUUAAUUAUUAAUUGCCUGCGCAAUUAAUGACUUGGCAAGGGCUAAGAAAACCUAGCACUACUGAGCCUGCACCCCAAAUGAGGGUGCUGGAUGGGCUGGGCGUAAUAUAUCGGUCCGUCUGCAGAUGGGAUCGACGGCGGCAAAGCAUACCAAAGAGUGGUAGCAAGGUCUAGUAACGCGGCGGUUCGUUCAGAAGAGGUAGGGAGGAAGACCGCAGGUGACGCUCUUCCCUGUUGUCCGGAGACCUUGGGGCGGAGAGCACUAGGACAUGCCCUCUCCCCGCUAGUCCAAAAACCCCUCGCGUGAGCGCGCUGACGACUGUCGCUGCUGAAGCGCUUGCUGCUGAAGAAGGGGCUGGAGCCGUUGGAGUAGGAGCUUCUGUACCCGCUGUUGCAGUUACGGCCGCCACGACGUGGGCGACGUGGCGUUAAAUGAGGCUCACCAAAAUGACGCGUAGACUUCGGUGGACGGAAAUUCCCCCGCGUUAUAUUCUCCACCACGUGCUCUCGUCAGAUGACCAAAGUCUGGUACCCGACGAUACUACAGUGGUUCCCGUUCGGACUCCCGCUAGAAUUAGGUCGUGUUGACCUUCGAAAACUCUUCUAGUUAUGCGGGAGAAAUUUCCGCGAGAAGAUUCACAAGAACUACUGAGGUAACACCUAAGCAUAUACAGCAAACUGUUGCCGUUCCUGUACACCCGACGCGAGCUCCGGUUCAAACCACGGAGCCUGCGGCCGUCGCUCAACAUGCAGUACCUCGUUAAGAUACUGAUGUUCUACUGACUACUCGCGGGACAACAUGUCGUCCGAGUACUCUAUGUCAACGAGCGUUUUCUUGAACUCAUGAAGUUCACACAGAACAACCUGUUUAAACAACGACCUCCGUAGUAACGGUUCGAAGGUGGAAGCACCUUGUUAAAACGAUGAAAGGACUUUGUGUUCUCUAUCCUCAAAAGGCAACGCCUAGAGUAACCAUGAAAACUACAACUUCUCUUCCGCUCUCGUUUUCUGUGUGCACGAGCUCAACGACUCCCUCCAAGAUCACGGGUGUACCAUGUCUUCUUCUUGAGGGUCGGGUUGUUCAAGUUUUUGUUAUUCUUGUUUUGAGUCCCGUUUCCGUUCAAACUAUGUUUCUUGUUCGGUAGUGUAAGAUGGUUGAAGUUCUUCUUAAGAGUAUUCUUCCCCUUCCCUGAAAAGGUACAGACACCACUAGGAUUAGUGACCCGAAGCUUCACAGGAUUGGUGAAACUCCUCGCGCUUGUACUCUUCUCGCCGUUCAGGCGAUUACAACAGUAGCCACUAUGACUAUACUUCCUUAGUCCCGUUGUCCCUGAAGUGGGCACGAUUACCCCUUGCCCAGUGUACGGUAGCAAGCUCCACAACCAUGCCAGCUAGACUUCAAAUGAAGCCCUUUCUGACACGCAGACUUCUUGUAAGUAGUACACGGCAGGUAGUUAUUUUUUAGAGCAAUCGCCAAGGGCAAAUACAGCUCUACCAAAAUUCAACUAAAAGCUUAGGUUAUUUCAAUAUUAAAGAUUCACACCUGUUAAACAACCUUUUCCGAUACUCACGCCUCCGAACAAGGCGGAUAGAAACAGUCUAUAAACGUGAUUUCAAUAAUUAUUACAAACGGUGUUAUUACUCAGACUAUAAACCGUAAGUGCUGACAGUAUAAUUGAAACCAACGUACUGCGCCAAUCGGUUAUACUUAAAUUAAG
rnacentral:rRNA from 1 species